rnacentral:rRNA from 1 species
CCUACGGGAGGCAGCAGUGAGGAAUAUUGGUCAAUGGGCGAGAGCCUGAACCAGCCAAGUCGCGUGAGGGAGUACUGCCCUAUGGGUUGUAAACCUCUUUUGUCGGGGAGCAAAAGCCGGACGUGUCCGGCUGUGAGAGUACCCGAAGAAAAAGCAUCGGCUAACUCCGUGCCAGCAGCCGCGGUAAUACGGAGGAUGCGAGCGUUAUCCGGAUUUAUUGGGUUUAAAGGGUGCGCGGGCGGAUUUUUAAGUCAGCGGUAAAAUCGUGGGGCUCAACCCCAUCCAGCCGUUGAAACUGGGGAUCUAGAGUGUGCGAGAGGUAUGCGGAAUGCGUGGUGUAGCGGUGAAAUGCAUAGAUAUCACGCAGAACCCCGAUUGCGAAGGCAGCAUACCGGUGCACAACUGACGCUCAGGCACGAAAGCGUGGGUAUCGAACAGGAUUAGAUACCCUGGUAGUC